UACGAAGGGGGCUAGCGUUGCUCGGAAUUACUGGGCGUAAAGCGCACGUAGGCGGAUUGUUAAGUCAGGGGUGAAAUCCUGGAGCUCAACUCCAGAACUGCCUUUGAUACUGAGGAUCUUGAGUUCGGGAGAGGUGAGUGGAACUGCGAGUGUAGAGGUGAAAUUCGUAGAUAUUCGCAAGAACACCAGUGGCGAAGGCGGCUCACUGGCCCGAUACUGACGCUGAUGCACGAAAGCGUGGGGAGCAAACAGG
rnacentral:rRNA from 1 species